GCAGGACGUCAUUACUGGCUAACGGGUGAGUAAUACGUGAGUAACCUGCCUUUAACUCUGGGAUAAGCCUUGGAAACGGGGUCUAAUACCGGAUACGACCAACCUUCGCAUGAGGUGUUGGUGGAAAGGGAUUUUGUACUGGUUUUAGAUGGGCUCACGGCCUAUCAGCUUGUUGGUGAGGUAACGGCUCACCAAGGCGACGACGGGUAGCCGGCCUGAGAGGGUGACCGGCCACACUGGGACUGAGACACGGCCCAGACUCCUACGGGAGGCAGCAGUGGGGAAUAUUGCACAAUGGGCGCAAGCCUGAUGCAGCGACGCCGCGUGAGGGAUGACGGCCUUCGGGUUGUAAACCUCUUUCAGCAGGGGAGAAGCGAAAGUGACGGUACCUGCAGAAGAAGCGCCGGCUAACUACGUGCCAGCAGCCGCGGUAAUACGUAGGGCGCAAGCGUUGUCCGGAAUUAUUGGGCGUAAAGAGCUUGUAGGCGGUUUGUCGCGUCUGCUGUGAAAGCCCGGGCCCUUAACCCCGGGUUUGCAGUUGGGCCUGGCCACCACUACAGUGCAGUAGGGGAGAUUGGAAUUUCUGCUGCAGCGGGUGAAAUGCGCAAUAUUCCGAGCACCUCUAAUGCCGAAGCAGGGCUCUGAGCUGCAAGUGAUCCUGACAAGCGAAAGCAUGGGGAGCGAACAGGAUUAGAUACCCUGGUAGUCCAUGCCGUAAACGUUGGGCACUAGGUGUGGGGAACAUUCCACGUUUUCCGCGCCGUAGCUAACGCAUUAAGUGCCCCGCCUGGGGAGUACGGCCGCAAGGCUAAAACUCAAAGAAAUUGACGGGGGCCCGCACAAGCGGCGGAGCAUGCGGAUUAAUUCGAUGCAACGCGAAGAACCUUACCAAGGCUUGACAUAUACUAGACCGCCUCAGAGAUGGGGUUUCCCUUCGGGGCUGGUAUACAGGUGGUGCAUGGUUGUCGUCAGCUCGUGUCGUGAGAUGUUGGGUUAAGUCCCGCAACGAGCGCAACCCUCGUUCUAUGUUGCCAGCACGUAAUGGUGGGGACUCAUAGGAGACUGCCGGGGUUAACUCGGAGGAAGGUGGGGAUGACGUCAAAUCAUCAUGCCCCUUAUGUCUUGGGCUUCACGCAUGCUACAAUGGCCGGUACAAAGGGUUGCGAUACUGUGAGGUUGAGCUAAUCCCAAAAAGCCGGUCUCAGUUCGGAUUGGGGUCUGCAACUCGACCCCAUGAAGUCGGAGUCGCUAGUAAUCGCAGAUCAGCAACGCUGCGGUGAAUACGUUCCCGGGCCUUGUACACACCGCCCGUCAAGUCGUAGAAA
rnacentral:rRNA from 1 species